GUGGGGAAUAUUGGACAAUGGGCGCAAGCCUGAUCCAGCCAUGCCGCGUGAGUGAUGAAGGCCUUAGGGUUGUAAAGCUCUUUCAGUAGGGAAGAUAAUGACGGUACCUACAGAAGAAGCCCCGGCUAACUUCGUGCCAGCAGCCGCGGUAAUACGAAGGGGGCUAGCGUUGUUCGGAUUUACUGGGCGUAAAGCGCACGUAGGCGGUUUGUUAAGUCAGGGGUGAAAUCCCACAGCUCAACUGUGGAACUGCCCUUGAUACUGGCAAGCUAGAGUCCGGAAGAGGUGAGUGGAACUCCUAGUGUAGAGGUGGAAUUCGUAGAUAUUCGGAAGAACACCAGUGGCGAAGGCGACACACUGGCCCGUUACUGACGCUGAGGCUCGAAAGCGUGGGGAGCAAACAGGAUUAGAUACCCUAGUAGUCC
rnacentral:rRNA from 1 species